rnacentral:rRNA from 1 species
AAUAGAUACCCGGGUAGUCCACGCCGUAAACGAUGAGUGCUAAGUGUUAGGGGGGUUUUCCGCCCCCUUACGUGCUGCAGCUAACGCAUUAAGCACUCCGCCUGGGGAGUACGGUCGCAAGACUGAAACUCAAAGGAAUUGACGGGGGCCCGCACAAGCGGUGGAGCAUGUGGUUUAAUUCGAAGCAACGCGAAGAACCUUACCAGGUCUUGACAUCCCGCUGACCGCUAUGGAGACAUAGUUUUCCCUUCGGGGACAGCGGUGACAGGUGGUGCAUGGUUGUCGUCAGCUCGUGUCGUGAGAUGUUGGGUUAAGUCCCGCAACGAGCGCAACCCUUGUCCUUAGUUGCCAUCAUUCAGUUGGGCACUCUAAGGAGACUGCCGGCUAAAGUCGGAGGAAGGUGGGGAUGACGUCAAAUCAUCAUGCCCCUUAUGACCUGGGCUACACACGUGCUAACAAUGGACGGUACAAACGGUUGCCGAAGUCGCGAGAUGGAGCUAAUCCGAGAAAACCGUUCUCAGUUCGGAUUGCAGGCUGC